AUUUUAUGAUGCGGGCAAGACUGCUGCAAUGCCUUGACUCUAUCUCAGGCUUCCCUAAGUGACUCACCAGGUUCUUGUGUGAAUGUAGUCAACUCGUGUCUUAUUUC